AUUGAACGCUGGCGGCAGGCUUAACACAUGCAAGUCGAGCGGAGAUGAGGUGCUUGCACCUUAUCUUAGCGGCGGACGGGUGAGUAAUGCUUAGGAAUCUGCCUAUUAGUGGGGGACAACAUUCCGAAAGGAAUGCUAAUACCGCAUACGCCCUACGGGGGAAAGCAGGGGAUCUUCGGACAUUGCGCUAAUAGAUGAGCCUAAGUCGGAUUAGCGAGUUGGUGGGGUAAAGGCCUACCAAGGCGACGAUCUGUAGCGGGUCUGAGAGGAGGGUCCGCCAACCGGGGAGUUGGACACGGCCCAGACUCCUGCGGGAGGCAGCAGGCGGAAAUAUUGGACAAUGGGCGGAAGCCUGAACCAGCCAUGCCGCGUGUGUGAAGAGGGCCUUUUUGUUGUAAAGCACUUUAAGCGAGGAGGAGGCUACCUGGAUUAAUACUCUAGGAUAGUGGACGUUACUCGCAGAAUAAGCACCGGCUAACUCUGUGCCAGCCGCCGCCGUAACAC
rnacentral:rRNA from 1 species